UACGGAAGGCAGCAGUGGGGAAUAUUGCACAAUGGGCGAAAGCCUGAUGCAGCUAUGCCGCGUGUAUGAAGAAGGCCUUAGGGUUGUAAAGUACUUUCAUCGGGGAGGAAAAAACAAAACUAAUAAUUUUAUUUCUUGACGUUACCCGAAAAAGAAGCACCGGCUAACUUCGUGCCAGCAGCCGCGGUAAUACGGAGGGUGCUAGCGUUAAUCAGAAUUACUGGGCGUAAAGAGCACGUAGGUGGUUUUUUUAAAGUCAGAUGUGAAAUCCCUGGGCUUAACCUGGAACUGCAUUUUGAAACUGAAAUACUAGAGUAUCGUAGAGGGAGGUAGAAUUCUAGGUGUAGCGGUGAAAUGCGUAGAUAUCUGGAGGAUACCUGUGGCGAAAGCGGCCUCCUAAACGAAUACUGACACUGAGGGUGCGAAAGCGUGGGGAGCAAACAGGGAUUAGAUACC
rnacentral:rRNA from 1 species